AGGCUGUAAGCAUACCUAGUCACAAAAAAAGAAUGUGUUGGUACAUUGCUAAAAGGACAACAAGAAUCCUUUUUGCUAAAUGAAGAGAAGAACAAGUUAUUCAUCAAAAUGCUCAAUUAGUUGGUUUCUUUUCAGCUUGUUGUAAUAUAGUAGGAGUUGUAGUAACAGAAACAAAUUGUAAAUCAGCCAAGGAAAAUGAUCUCCAACUUGUUGAGUUGUCACAAAGACCAGAAUUCAUAGCCAAUAUGCCAAUAUGUUUCUUCUUUGAGAUGCCAGUGUGGUUCUUGUUGUUAGGUAAACGACAUGCCAAUAUGUUUCUCCUUUUCUUGUUGAUAUAGGAAACAUUUUCUGGCUUUGCUAAUUCUUUCACAGAAGAUGAAGUUGAAGCUUCUCUUAAACUUGUGAAUGAUUUUGACUUUCCAUUAUAGAAUCUUGACAUACCCUUUCUAAUUGGUAGAACUUGGUGUAGAGGUUGGAUGGAAGAGAAAGGACUUUCAACUUCUUGAGGAUCAUCAUCCAUUGAUUCUUCAUGUGAUAUAGUAUCACUAUUUUCUCCAAUAGAUGAUGAAGAACUACAAGUGCAUGCCUUCUCCUCAUUAAUAUACA
rnacentral:misc_RNA from 1 species